AGGAACCUACGGGGGGCAGCAGUGAGGAAUAUUGGUCAAUGGACGGAAGUCUGAACCAGCCAUGCCGCGUGCAGGAAGACGGCUCUAUGAGUUGUAAACUGCUUUUGUACAAGGGUAAACCUGAAUACGUGUAUUCAGCUGAAAGUACUGUACGAAUAAGGAUCGGCUAACUCCGUGCCAGCAGCCGCGGAGAUACGGAGGAUCCAAGAGUUAUCCGGAUUUAUUGGGUUUAAAGGGUGCGUAGGCGGAUGGAUAAGCUAGAGGUGAAAU
rnacentral:rRNA from 1 species